AGUGAACGCUGGCGGCAGGCCUAACACAUGCAAGUCGAGCGGCUGAAGGGUAAUUGCUUCUGGAUUCAGCGGCGGAGGGGUGGGCAAGGCCUAGGAAUCUGCCUGGCUGUGUGGGAUAACGUCCGAAAACAGGCGCUAAUACCGCAUACGCCCAGAGGAAGUAAGGGUGAGAUCAUCGGACCUUCCGAUAUCAGAUGAGCCUAUGUCGGAUUAGCUAGUUGGUGGGGUAAAGGCCUACCAAGGCGACGAUCCGUAACUGGUCUGAGAGGAUGAUCAGCCACACUGGAACUGAGACACGGUCCAGACUCCUACGGGAGGCAGCAGUGGGGAAUAUUGGACAAUGGGCGCAAGCCUGAUCCAGCCAUGCCGCGUGUGUGAAGAAGGUCUUCGGAUUGUAAAGCCCUUUAGUUGGGGAGGAAGGGCAGUAAGUUAAUACCUUGCUGUUUUGACGGUACCCAAAGAAUAAGCACCGGCUAACUUCGUG
rnacentral:rRNA from 1 species